GGCGCCGUAGCCAAGUGGUAAGGCAGAGGACUGCAAAUCCUUUACGCGGCGGUUCGAAUCCGCCCGGCGCCUCCA
rnacentral:tRNA from 3 species